UCUGUCUGUGGCGGGUCUGUCUGUAGCGGGUCUGUCUGUUCUGAGUCUGUCUGUGGCGGGUCUGUCUGUGGCGGGUCUGUCUGUUCUGAGUCUGUCUGUGGCAGGUCUGUCUGUUCUGAGUCUGUCUGUUCUGAGUCUGUCUGUGGCGGGUCUGUCUGUUCUGAGUCUGUCUGUGUCGGGUCUGUCUGU